AACAAGAGUGCACACGCUGAAAUGUCUCGCCUUCUUUACUAAUCAUUGAUAUUAUGUUGAUAGUCCUAAAUAUAAAGCUUUAUUACAACUGUCACAUAAACUUAACAUUAACCAAGUAAACUAAACAUUGACCAAUGAACCAUGAAAAUGAGGUCAAGGUCAGAUGAACCAUGCUAGGCAGGCAUGUACAGCUAACAAUUCUUCCAAACAACAAAUAGAGUUGACCUAUUGCUUAUAGUUUAAGAAAAACAGACCAAAACACAAAAACUUAACACUGAGCAAUGAACCUUGAAAAUGAGGUCAAGGUCAAAUAAAACCUGCGUGACUGCCAAAUAGAUCAUAAAAUAUUUCCAUACACCAAAUAUAGUUGAACUAUUGCAUAUAGUAUAAGAAAAACAGACCAAAACACAAAAACUUAACUAUAACCACUGAACCAUGAAAAUGAGGCCAAGGUCAGAUGACACCUGCCAGUUGGACAUGUACACCUUACAGUCCUUCCAUACACCGAAUAUACUAGACCUAUUGCUUAUAGUAUCUGAGAUAUGGACUUGACCACCAAAACUUAACCUUGUUCACUGAUCCAUGAAAUGAGGUCGAGGUCAAGUGAAAACUGUCUGACGGGCAUGAGGACCUUGCAAGGUACGCACAUACCAAAUAUAGUUAUCUUAUUACUUAUAAUAAGAGAGAAUCUAACAUUACAAAAAAUCUGAACUUUUUUUUCAAGUAGUCACUGAACCAUGAAAAUGAGGUCAAGGACAUUGGACAUGUGACUGACGGAAACUUCGUAACAUGAGGCAUCCAUAUACAAAGUAUGAAGCAUCCAGACCUUCCACCUUCUAAAAUAUAAAGCUUUUAAGAAGUUAGCUAACGCCGCCGCCGCCGCCGCCGCUGCCGCCGCCGGAUCGCUAUCCCUAUGUCGAGCUUUCUGCGACAAAAGUCGCAGGCUCGACAAAAAUUAAUUAUGAUGAAAAAAUUGUACAAAUAAAAUGUGUAAUUAAACAAUGGUCAAAACGAAAUCUUA